rnacentral:rRNA from 1 species
GACGAAUGCUGGCGGCGUGCUUAACACAUGCAAGUCGAACGGAAAGGCCCUGCUUGCAGGGUACUCGAGUGGCGAACGGGUGAGUAACACGUGGGUGAUCUGCCCUCCACUUCGGGAUAAGCCUGGGAAACUGGGUCUAAUACCGGAUAGGAGCCAUUUUUAGUGUGAUGGUUGGAAAGUUUUUUCGGUGUAGGAUGAGCUCGCGGCCUAUCAGCUUGUUGGUGGGGUAAUGGCCUACCAAGGCGGCGACGGGUAGCCGGCCUGAGAGGGUGGACGGCCACAUUGGGACUGAGAUACGGCCCAGACUCCUACGGGAGGCAGCAGUGGGGAAUAUUGCACAAUGGGCGCAAGCCUGAUGCAGCGACGCCGCGUGGGGGAUGACGGCCUUCGGGUUGUAAACUCCUUUCGCUAGGGACGAAGCUUUUGUGACGGUACCUAGAUAAGAAGCACCGGCUAACUACGUG